GUGAACGCUGGCGGUGUGCCUAAGACAUGCAAGUCGAACGGGAUUAGUGUUUCACACUUAGAAUUUUUAAUUUUAAUUAAAAAUUUUGGGCGUGGAACGCCAGUUCAGUGGCAAACGGGUGAGUAUAAAAUAGGAACGUACUUCGAAGCGGGGCAUAGCCCCUCGAAAGAGGGGGUAAUUUCCCAUACGCCUACGGGUGAAAGACGCAAGUCACUACGAAAACGGCCUAUUUACUACCAGCUAGUUGGUAAGGUAAUGGCUUACCAAGGCAAUGACGGUUACCGGCUCUUAGCGGAGAGUCCGGCACAAUGGGACUGAGACACGGCCCAUACACCUACGGGUGGCAGCAGUUAGGAAUUUUGCGCAAUGGACGAAAGUCUGACGCAGCGACACCGCGUGGAGGAUGAAGACCUUAGGGUUGUAAACUCCUUUUUGGCAGCCAUGAAGGCGGCCAGAAUAAGUAGCUACUAACUACGU
rnacentral:rRNA from 1 species